rnacentral:rRNA from 1 species
AUUGAACGCUGGCGGCAUGCUUUACACAUGCCAGUCGAGCGGCAGCACGGGGGCAACCCUGGUGGCGAGCGGCGAACGGGUGAGUAAUACAUCGGAACAUGCCCAGUCGUGGGGGAUAACACUUCGAAAGAAGUGCUAAUACCGCAUACGUCCUGAGGGGGAAAGCGGGGGAUCGCAAGACCUCGCGCGAUUGGAGUGGCCGAUGUCAGAUUAGCUAGUUGGUGGGGUAAAGGCCUACCAAGGCAACGAUCUGUAGCUGGUCUGAGAGGAUGAUCAGCCACACUGGGACUGAGACACGGCCCAGACUCCUACGGGAGGCAGCAGUGGGGAAUUUUGGACAAUGGGGGCAACCCUGAUCCAGCCAUUCCGCGUGAGUGAAGAAGGCCUUCGGGUUGUAAAGCUCUUUCGGCAGGAACGAAACGGUGAGCUCUAACAUAGCUUGCUAAUGACGGUACCUGAAGAAGAAGCACCGGCUAACUACGUG